GCUAACUUCGUGCCAGCAGCCGCGGUAAUACGAAGGGUGCAAGCGUUAAUCGGAAUUACUGGGCGUAAAGCGUGCGUAGGCGGUUUGUUAAGUCAGAUGUGAAAGCCCCGGGCUCAACCUGGGAACUGCAUUUGAUACUGGCAGGCUAGAGUACGGUAGAGGGUGGUGGAAUUCCCGGUGUAGCGGUGAAAUGCGUAGAGAUCGGGAGGAACAUCCGUGGCGAAGGCGGCCACCUGGACCAGUACUGACGCUGAGGCACGAAAGCGUGGGGAGCAAACAGGAUUAGAUACCCCUGUAGUC
rnacentral:rRNA from 1 species